CCUGCAGGGCGAGGAUCCCGUUGCAGGCCGAGGAGAUGACAUAGGUAAAGGCCAUCAGGGUGUCGCCCGUUUCCUGCAGACACGUGCAACAAGUUCAUCAGUGGAAGAAGAAAAAAAGCUGCAACAAGGUCGAGUGGGACAAAAGUGCCCUUGAAAACAAAAUGGCCGCUACCUGCAGCGAGGUGAAGAUGCGUGCCAGCGAUCCAGCGAACAGCAGGAAGACGGAAAUGGCCGACAACUGGCCCGUGUGGCCGUUGCGGAAGUUAGUGGCUGCCUGAAUCAGCUGCAACACAAAAAGACAUUUGCAACAGUGAGACGCUCAGAACCAUUUGACUUAUAUUAUUCUUUUAACAGUUUUUUUUUUUACUUAGUAGCAAUUCUUUAAUACCCCUCCAAAUGUUAGAUUUUUUUUUUCCCCUCACAACAUCUAGAUUUUAUUUCCAAAUGUAAUUUCAUGGUUAGCGUGGAUGUGUGCCUACCCUGCUGACGAUGAUGGCAGGCAUGUUGGAGGCCUGCAAGGUGGUCACCACUGACAUGGGGGUGACUGGUGACAGCACGGCGACCAGCAGACCAAAGUAUAUGAUCAGAAAAAGGAAACCUGCCAAAAACAAAUCGGCAUUUUCAGCCCUCAAAAUAAGUAUUUGCUCACUUAACAUGACUUUUUUUUUUUUUUAUAUAUGACUCUGCUCCCCCCAAAACGUUUUUAUCCUCAAUGCUCUCUUUGAUAACCGGGCGGCGUGUGCACUCGCUCUCCCAACAAUGUGGUGAAUAGUUCGUCUGAAGUGCGUCUCUCGUCUGUGUCGGAAUGUAAAUACAAUCGACAGGAUCACGUUCAAAAAUUCGUCUUUUGCAGUGUUUUGGCACUGUACAUCAAAGACAAUAAGGGAGCUCGAAAAUACUUUGUCUUAUUAGAGUGUGCAAUGAUUGGAAUUUCUCAGUACUUUCCAAAACAAAAUUGUGACUUGCUCAUGUUUAGCCUCACCUCUGCCACUUCUCCCUCUAUAGUGCUGAAUGAGGAAGCCGAUGGUGACAGUCUGUAGCAUGAGGAAGAGCGCCUCGCCCCAAGCGCUGUCGUAACCCAAACAACAACGUUUCCUUUAAUAAGGCAUGGUGGCUCUGUGACCCUCUGGCCCGAGCAGGAUCCCACCUGAAGGGGAACUUGUUGGCGAUGCUGUAGGCCAUCGUUCCCGGGGCGGCCAGCAGCUCGAGGAGCACCGACUGAAAGCUCAGGCCUUCGUCGCUCUUUGCACCCAUCAUCUUCAAGAUCUGAGGCAGCUUCACUGGGAACAUGGGAAAAAAAUGGAUCAAAUGAACAGACAACGUUUAUCAGACUUUUUUAAAAUACAGUUUAUUUGCAUUUGAGUGAUUUACCCAUCACUGAACCCAGGAUGAUGCCAAUCCCCAGGCCUUUGCUGAGUAAAAUCUUUAAACAUGGUACUGAAACACACAAAAGUUCAAAAAAUUAGAUGUUUUGCAUUCGAGGUAAGUAGUGCUUGUAAAUCUGCUUAAAAUGACAUAAUGAAAAACCAAACAUAUACUGCAUAUAAUCUAAAAGACAAUAUUCUCAACAGGGUGAGUAGUUUCUUAGAUUUUACAAUCUCUUGCUCGCGACUCUUUUAAGAGUCUAUGGCAUUCAAAACUUGUCACUCACCGUGUAGAAAAUUGAGAUUGAGAAAAAGCUCGUCGUAGCAUAAUUCUGGUAUCAAAUACGCCAACAAGACGCCUUUAAAAGGGUCCAUGAAAGAGGAACCUUUCUCUAGAAUGACUUCUUCCGCCAUUGUCCUGCCGCCAAGUCACGUGACUUGGGAUGUGCUCCAGCGUAAAGAGUCCCCCUCAAGUUGCUCCCAUGUUAUCUUACUCCCCGUCUCGAGUUACGACUGUUAUGGUAAGGCAAGUUGCGCAGUUUUGUUUCGCGACUGCAGAUUUGUCACAAGCGACUUGGAACUGAUUGCAAAACUUCAAACUCUCAAUAAAAACGCUGUCCGA